GACGAACGCUGGCGGCGUGCCUAAUACAUGCAAGUUGAGCGCUGAAGGUUGGUACUUGUACCAACUGGAUGAGCAGCGAACGGGUGAGUAACGCGUGGGGAAUCUGCCUUUGAGCGGGGGACAACAUUUGGAAACGAAUGCUAAUACCGCAUAAAAACUUUAAACACAAGUUUUAAGUUUGAAAGAUGCAAUUGCAUCACUCAAAGAUGAUCCCGCGUUGUAUUAGCUAGUUGGUGAGGUAAGGCUCACCAAGGCGAUGAUACAUAGCCGACCUGAGAGGGUGAUCGGCCACAUUGGGACUGAGACACGGCCCAAACUCCUACGGGAGGCAGCAGUAGGGAAUCUUCGGCAAUGGACGAAAGUCUGACCGAGCAACGCCGCGUGAGUGAAGAAGGUUUUCGGAUCGUAAAACUCUGUUGGUAGAGAAGAACGUUGGUGAGAGUGGAAAGCUCAUCAAGUGACGGUAACUACCCAGAAAGGGACGGCUAACUACGUG
rnacentral:rRNA from 1 species